rnacentral:rRNA from 1 species
GAGAGCAUGCUCAAGCUAAACUUAGCGGCGGACGGGUGAGUAACGUGUGGGCAACCUGCCUCAUACAGGGGGAUAAUCAUGUGAAAACGUGACUAAUACCGCAUAAUGUUAUGUUCAGGCAUCUGAAUAUAAAGGAAGGAGAAAUCCGGUAUGAGAUGGGCCCGCAUCUGAUUAGCUAGUUGGUGAGAUAACAGCCCACCAAGGCGACGAUCAGUAGCCGACCUGAGAGGGUGAACGGCCACAUUGGGACUGAGACACGGCCCAAACUCCUACGGGAGGCAGCAGUGGGGAAUAUUGCACAAUGGGGGAAACCCUGAUGCAGCAACGCCGCGUGAAGGAAGACGGUUUUCGGAUUGUAAACUUCUAUCAAUAGGGAAGAAAGAAAUGACGGUACCUAGAUAAGAAGCCCCGGCUAACUACGUGCCAGCAGCCGCGGUAAUACGUAGGGGGCAAGCGUUAUCCGGAAUUACUGGGUGUAAAGGGUGAGUAGGCGGCACUGUAAGUAAGAUGUGAAAGCCUUAGGCUUAACCUGAGGAUUGCAUUAUAAACUGCAGAGCUAGAGUGCAGGAGAGGAAAGCGGAAUUCCUAGUGUAGCGGUGAAAUGCGUAGAUAUUAGGAAGAACACCAGUGGCGAAGGCGGCUUUCUGGACUGAAACUGACGCUGAGGCACGAAAGCGUGGGGAGCGAACAGGAUUAGAUACCCUGGUAGUCCACGCUGUAAACGAUGAGUGCUAGGUGUCGGAGGGGAACCUUCGGUGCCGGAGCAAACGCAAUAAGCACUCCACCUGGGG